ensembl:rRNA 5S_rRNA 5S ribosomal RNA
GUCUAAAGCCAUAUCACCCUGAAAGUGCCCAAUCUCGUCUGGUCUCAAAAGCUAAGCAGGGUCAGGCCUGCUUAGUACUUGGAUGGAAGACAGAUCUUCAGAAGAGACUACUCAGAGACAAGCAGUUUGAAGACA